UACGAAGGGGGCUAGCGUUGCUCGGAAUCACUGGGCGUAAAGGGUGCGUAGGCGGGUUUUUAAGUCAGAGGUGAAAUCCUGGAGCUCAACUCCAGAACUGCCUUUGAUACUGGAAGUCUUGAGUAUGGGAGAGGUGAGUGGAACUGCGAGUGUAGAGGUGAAAUUCGUAGAUAUUCGCAAGAACACCAGUGGCGAAGGCGGCUCACUGCCCAUUACUGACGCUGAGGCAC
rnacentral:rRNA from 1 species